GCGGCGGCAGUGCAACGGUUCAGCAUGCGAUUUUGUAAAAAUUGAGAUCUGGGUUCGAAUCCCAGCUGGCGCA